rnacentral:tRNA from 2 species
GGCGUCGUAGCUCAACGGUAGAGCGGCUGUUUCAUCGGCUCCGGUGACUCGCGCGACUCGUUUCGCGCUCCAACGGCGGGAGCUGUACACACUUCGGGCUUUCAACCCGCCGGUACUCGGUUCGACUCCGAGCGACGCCA